rnacentral:rRNA from 1 species
GAUGAACGCUGACAGAAUGCUUAACACAUGCAAGUCGAUGGGGAAGUGGUGCUUGCACCAUGGUAACCAUGGCGGACGGGUGAGUAACGCGUAAGGAACUUGCCUGCGGGACCGGGAUAACAGCAGGAAACUGCUGACAAGACCGGAUAAGGUCAUUAAGCCGCAUAGCUUAGUGAUGAAAGGAGACGCCUGCGGAGAGCCUUGCGUCCUAUUAGCUAGUUGGAGGGGUAACGGCCCACCAAGGCGAAGAUAGGUAGCCGGCCUGAGAGGGUGGACGGCCACAAGGGGACUGAGAUACGGCCCUUACUCCUACGGGAGGCAGCAGUGGGGAAUAUUGGACAAUGGGGGCAACCCUGAUCCAGCAAUUCUGUGUGCACGAAGACGGUUUUCGGAUUGUAAAGUGCUUUCAGCAGGGAAGAAGGAAGUGACGGUACCUGCAGAAGAAGCGACGGCUAAAUACGUGCCAGCAGCCGCGGUAAUACGUAUGUCGCGAGCGUUAUCCGGAAUUAUUGGGCAUAAAGGGCAUCUAGGCGGCCUUUCAAGUCAGGGGUGAAAACCCGCGGCUCAACCGCAGGCCUGCCUUUGAAACUGAUAGGCUGGAGUACCGGAGAGGUGGACGGAACUGCACGAGUAGAGGUGAAAUUCGUAGAUAUGUGCAGGAAUGCCGAUGAUGAAGAUAGUUCACUGGACGGUAACUGACGCUGAAGUGCGAAAGCCGGGGGAGCAAACAGG